rnacentral:rRNA from 1 species
UGAACGCUGGCGGCAUGCCUUCCACAUGCAAGUCGAACGGCAGCACGGGUGCUUGCACCUGGUGGCGAGUGGCGAACGGGUGAGUAAUACAUCGGAACAUGUCCUGUAGUGGGGGAUAGCCCGGCGAAAGCCGGAUUAAUACCGCAUACGAUCUACGGAUGAAAGCGGGGGACCUUCGGGCCUCGCGCUAUAGGGUUGGCCGAUGGCUGAUUAGCUAGUUGGUGGGGUAAAGGCCUACCAAGGCGACGAUCAGUAGCUGGUCUGAGAGGACGACCAGCCACACUGGGACUGAGACACGGCCCAGACUCCUACGGGAGGCAGCAGUGGGGAAUUUUGGACAAUGGGCGAAAGCCUGAUCCAGCAAUGCCGCGUGUGUGAAGAAGGCCUUCGGGUUGUAAAGCACUUUUGUCCGGAAAGAAAUCCUUGGCCCUAAUACGGUCGGGGGAUGACGGUACCGGAAGAAUAAGCACCGGCUAACUACGUG